rnacentral:rRNA from 1 species
GACUCUCGGCAACGGAUAUCUCGGCUCUCGCAUCGAUGAAGAACGUAGCGAAAUGCGAUACCUGGUGUGAAUUGCAGAAUCCCGUGAACCAUCGAGUCUUUGAACGCAAGUUGCGCCCGAGGCCAUCCGGCUAAGGGCACGCCUGCCUGGGCGUCA